rnacentral:ncRNA from 1 species
GUUUUCCGAGGAGCGUUGCGACGGACCAUCCGUGUCCGCCAGGCUCGGAGAGCUUCACCAAGCAGCCGUGCGGCGAUUUUUUUCGCGCCGGCCCCGCUUCCUGAACGGCGCUCACGUCAC